rnacentral:rRNA from 1 species
GGAUUAGAUACCCUGGUAGUCCACGCUGUAAACGAUGAGAACUAGCCGUUGGGACCCAUGAGGUUUUAGUGGCGCAGCAAACGCGAUAAGUUCUCCGCCUGGGGAGUACGGCCGCAAGGCUAAAACUCAAAUGAAUUGACGGGGGCCCGCACAAGCGGUGGAGCAUGUGGUUUAAUUCGAAGCAACGCGAAGAACCUUACCUACUCUUGACAUCCUGAGAAUCUGCUAGAGAUAGCGGAGUGCCUUCGGGAAUUCAGUGACAGGUGCUGCAUGGCUGUCGUCAGCUCGUGCCG